AGAGUUUGAUCAUGGCUCAGAACGAACGCUGGCGGCGUGGAUAAGACAUGCAAGUCGAGCGCUGAUUACGGGGUAGCAAUAUUCCGUGGUCGGAGCGGCGCAAGGGUGCGUAACACGUGGGUAAUCUGCCAUGAAGUUCGGGAUAACUUGCUGAAAGGCGAGCUAAUACCGGAUGUGACACCCGGGAGACAUCUCCUGGUUGUUAAAGUUGGGGACCGUAAGGCCUGACGCUUCUUGAUGAACCCGCGGCCUAUCAGCUAGUUGGUGAGGUAACGGCCCACCAAGGCUAAGACGGGUAGCUGGUCUGAGAGGACGACCAGCCACACUGGAACUGAGACACGGUCCAGACACCUACGGGUGGCAGCAGUCGAGAAUUUUUCACAAUGGGCGCAAGCCUGAUGGAGCGACGCCGCGUGGGGGAUGAAUGGCUUCGGCCCGUAAACCCCUGUCAUUCGCGAUCAAACCUUAUUAUUUAAAAGAUGAUGAGCUGAUAGUAGCGGAAGAGGAAGGGACGGCUAACUCUGUGCCAGCAGCCGCGGUAAUACAGAGGUCCCAAGCGUUGUUCGGAUUCACUGGGCGUAAAGGGUGCGUAGGUGGUGAGGUAAGUCGGAUGUGAAAUCUCGGAGCUUAACUCCGAAAUGGCAUUGGAAACUACCUUGCUCGAGGGUUGGAGGGGGGACUGGAAUACUUGGUGUAGCAGUGAAAUGCGUAGAUAUCAAGUGGAACACCAGUGGCGAAGGCGAGUCCCUGGACAACUCCUGACACUGAGGCACGAAAGCUAGGGGAGCAAACAGGAUUAGAUACCCUAGUAGUCC
rnacentral:rRNA from 1 species